UGCAUGGCCGUUCUUAGUUGGUGGAGUGAUUUGUCUGCUUAAUUGCGAUAACGAACGAGACCUUAACCUACUAAAUAGUGGUGCUAGCAUUUGCUGGUUUUUCCACUUCUUAGAGGGACUAUCGGUUUCAAGCCGAUGGAAGUUUGAGGCAAUAACAGGUCUGUGAUGCCCUUAGACGUUCUGGGCCGCACGCGCGCUACACUGACGGAGCCAGCGAGUCUAACCUUGGCCGAGAGGUCUGGGUAAUCUUGUGAAACUCCGUCGUGCUGGGGAUAGAGCAUUGUAAUUAUUGCUCUUCAACGAGGAAUUCCUAGUAAGCGCAAGUCAUCAACUUGCGUUGAUUACGUCCCUGCCCUUUGUACACACAAGCCGAAU
rnacentral:rRNA from 1 species